UUGUGCACAUGAACAACAACUGCUACUUCAAAAUUCAAAUAUCAAUCCACCAAGCUUUCUUCUUCAUCAGCAGAAAUCACAGCCAAAAGAGAGAACUUUGCGCGUAGCGAUAUCUUACUUUUAUCGACCAUCAACCGAGCACCCGACACGACCCAAUAACCGGGCAAAUCCUGUGGUCCCCGGACCAAUUCCGAUGUAUCAACAAAUUUCAAAAGCUUCUUUCCUUGAGCAGUCACUGGAGGCCCAAUAGGUAAAGCCGAGUUCAGUAUAAUAUCUUUAGGCUGUGGUGUCGGUUUUUGAGCACUCGAAAACCGAGUAGAGAUCAGGGUUGAAACAAUGCCAGAUUUCUGAGUAACAAGAACUGGUGACCCGUCCCAUUCGGGCUGCCUCACCACCGUGGCCCCCACGACUUUUGAGAACUGCAGGCGUAAGAACAGGACUCGUUUUAGACCUGAAUCGCUUACUUCGAAUUCGGCUCCUGUCACGAUGGAGUGUUCGUCGUCAGACUCCACUGGGGCCGUGCAGAUGUGUGAAAAGCUUUUCCAUUGAACCUUUUCGUGGUACCUUCGGUCUUGAGAAUGUGGGCUCAAGGAGUUCUUGAUGGGCUCAGCCACCAGUUUAAAGCUUUUCGGCAUGGAUGAAAGAUGCUGUAAAUGGAUCGCUAAACAGUCGUUCUUUUUUCCUUCUAAAUAAAGCCGAAGGCCCGUUACUGGUGUGUUACCGACAUCCACCUGCAGUUUAUUAACAGUAAAGAUAAUCAGUAUUCUAUAACAACUAAGGAUAAUGGGCCGGUCAAGAUGAACAAUUUUGUUACGCGUCGGGUUGACCCGACCGCUUCUUGUCAAAUGAUAUGAUUUAGAAGGUUUUAUGGAUUAAAUAUACAAUUUGACCCAUUUAACUUAUUAUUUUUGACUGUUAAAGAUAAAACAUUGCCUGAUUUGUGUUAACAUAGAGCUUGGGGCCCAUAAAUCUGAACUGUAACGAUGCACUGUGGUUCUGUUUCCCCUCGGGCCCGACUGCGAGCUCACCGAACUCUGGGGCCCAACGUGUCGGAAGCUGAAACUCUAAAAAUUGCUGCAGCUCUUCAAUUGGCGGUUUAACUGCAAAACAAACAUAGCGCGGUUUGUACUAAAGGGUAUUUUGGACAUUUCUACAACGGGUUAAUAAACGGAAAAAUAGGGAUGUGUUUACUCACAGCGGAUAUAAAGAUUGAUGGCAUGAGUCAAGAACCCGUUGCCAUCGAUUCCACUUAAUAAAGAUGUGAUUGGAAUUAACGACAUUGAUAUCACUUGCGGUUCAAGUUGAACCGUUUGACACCAUGUGCGAUGGUCAAGGUUUUUGCCGUAACUUCCUCCUCUCCUCCUCCAGAAAACAGUUAUAUCCUGCAAUAAUACGGAAUUAAAUUUCAUAUUGGAAAUGUGUACGAAAAGUAUCAAUAACGAGACGAUAUCAAAGAUCUAACCUCAACCGCAGGAACCAAGUUUAUCAAGCCGUAGUCGUUCCUUUCAAGCUGAAAUGAAAAAGGUUCCCAUGAUGAUGGAACCGCAUUCUUGACAUGAUCACAUAAUGCAAUUUGGGACUUUUCGAGUGUGAUAUUGUAAAGCGUUAUGAACACACCAUCUAGCGCGAGUGCUUUCGUGUUCAUAGCAUCUUUUUGCCAUGAUCCUGUGAACUCAAAUGCAGCAUUAAACUGUCCUGUUGGGAUUCUUCCUGAAAGUUUAACAUCCUGGUUGAACUGUUCAGCCAUCUGCAAAAACAAGAGAUCAAUGUCACCUAAAUAUCAAAGAAAUCCAACAAUUUUUCAGUUAUAUUAAUGAUGUUUUUCAAAA
rnacentral:lncRNA from 1 species